UUAAUAGUUUCGACUUUCGACGCUGCUGUCAUGUCUGCGCUAACAAUGAGAGCCGCACUAUUGCUCCUCGUUGUGUUUCUCGUAAAAUCGAGUAUGUGUGCUGAGAUGGUAUUUUUUUUAUCUUACAAUUUUUGGUUUACUAUUAAUUUUGUUUCUUUAGUCUACAACCUCCAAGCCACCCACUAUUGUUGGAAAGGUAGUUUCACCGAAAGACACGGAGCAGCAGGGAGCAGCUCCAUGCGAUAAGUGCAUUAUAUGCUGCAAAGGAUGCGACGGUAAGUCAUCCGAAUCCAGUAGCAGCGAAUCAAGUGAGGAAAAAUCCGCUCCGGAAUCAAUACAACUCUUGAGAAGAAUGGUUGAAAGCGCCAAACUUGCGGAGCUUGGCAAAAUGAGCAGCACCAAUCAGUAAUACUGUCUUUGAUUAUUGAAAAGGCUCUCACGUAAAUAUUAAAUUCUCGUGCAGAUACAAGCUAGUGCCAGUUUAUGACGUGGUGCCCUACCCCAGCGCGUUUAUCCAACCGUUUGGGCGCCAAUCCCACCCUCAUCCCUACGCCCCAGCGCCGAAUCCGGUGAACGUGGCCUAUCACCCCUAUCACCAGCCAAUGCAACAUCUCCACCCUAUGAGAAAUUAUUGAUGUUAACGCAAUGAAUAAAUUCGUAUUGCG